ACCGCAUGGUUCAGACAUAAAAGGUGGCUUCGGCUACCACUUACAGAUGGACCCGCGGCGCAUUAGCUAGUUGGUGAGGUAACGGCUCACCAAGGCGACGAUGCGUAGCCGACCUGAGAGGGUGAUCGGCCACACUGGGACUGAGACACGGCCCAGACUCCUACGGGAGGCAGCAGUAGGGAAUCUUCCGCAAUGGACGAAAGUCUGACGGAGCAACGCCGCGUGAGUGAUGAAGGUUUUCGGAUCGUAAAGCUCUGUUGUUAGGGAAGAACAAGUGCCGUUCAAAUAGGGCGGCACCUUGACGGUACCUAACCAGAAAGCCACGGCUAACUACGUGCCAGCAGCCGCGGUAAUACGUAGGUGGCAAGCGUUGUCCGGAAUUAUUGGGCGUAAAGGGCUCGCAGGCGGUUUCUUAAGUCUGAUGUGAAAGCCCCCGGCUCAACCGGGGAGGGUCAUUGGAAACUGGGGAACUUGAGUGCAGAAGAGGAGAGUGGAAUUCC
rnacentral:rRNA from 1 species